CAAAGCACUGCGAUUACACGCGAGAGCCACCGCGCCCAGCCAACACAGGGCCUUUUUUGAUCCCGCAGUUGUCCCAGACAGACCCUAACCUCAGAUGGGUGCACUGGGGGGCUGCAGCCUAGCUGGACAACCUCACUCAAGGUUGGCGACAGGGUGCAGGGGUGCAGACAGGCAGGUCCUGCAAACUACCCAAAGGCCUGCUUCUUCCUCCUCAGAGCUGGCAUCCACUCCGGUUCUGGGUCUCAUUUCCAGCGUAAUGGCUCAAAGACAAAGAAAGAAAGAAAACAAGCCCCAACCCCACAACCAGCUGAGGCGGCCCCUCCUGGCCACCCUUUGAUGUUUGAGGACUGAACAAUGGGGCUGAUUGCAGAUGAGAGAUUUGAAGCCAUCUUAAUUAGAAGGAAAGAAUGUCCUCGUGGUCGGCUGUUCUAAAAAUACAGCUGUGCCCACAUCUGGAGGGAAAGGGUGGGGGCCUGGGAGGUGGGGACGGUGGUUAGGCCAGAGUCUGAAGCACUGAUGCCUGCAUUCCUUGGGGCGGAGGGGGCCUCUAAGCAGGGCCUCUUGGAAGGGGGUGGGGAGAUGCCACAGCAGCCAGUCCGCUGUGGCUGGACCACCUUCUGCAGGUUUGGGAUGCGCAAGCAGUGGGACAGGUGUGCCUUCCUGCGUCUGCCCUCACCAAGGAAGCCCUCCCCGUGCCGCAGCCUCGGUUUUCUCUUCUCUCCAACGGGGCAACCAAAUUGGUCAUUUGUUUGCAUUUCAAAUACUCACUUUGCGACCUAAUCUUGCAUUUGUUUUGCAUUUUUUUUUUUUUUUGAGACAGAGUUUCACUCUUGUUGCCCAGGCUGGAGUGCAAUGGCACGAUCUCAGCUCACUGCAACCUCCGCCACCUGUGUUCAAGCAAUUCUCCCGCCUCAGCCUCCCGAGUAGCUGGGAUUAUUACAGGAGCCUGCCACCACACCCCACUAAUUUUCGUAAUUUUUGUAUUUUUAGUACAGAUAGGGUUUCGCCGUGUUGGCCAGGCUGGUCUUGAACUACUGACCUCAGGUGAUCCGCCCACCUCGGCCUCCCAAAGUGUUGGGAUUACAGGCAUGAGCCACCGCGCCCGGCUGUUUUGCAUUCAUUUUCUUAAAGAGGCCCCCCAGUCUCAUGAAAGUGAAGGGCAUUGGAGGGCUGGGUGAGUGUUUGGAGGAGGACGUGGAGGCAGGGGCCCUGGUGGUGUCACUGUGAAAGGAUGGGUCACCUGGGUUGUCAUCUCAGCCCACCGUUAGGAGCCUCCCAUCCCAGCGGCUGGACAAUCACCUGGCACGGGGAGCAUGCCCCUCACUCAUGGGAGCAGGGCCUGGCUGCUUGGUGGGGCUAUCAGUGGAUGCAAGCCAGUGGAGGUGGGGUGAACCAAGGCCUUUCUUUCUUUUUUUUUUUUUGAGACGGAGUUUCGCUCUUGUUGUCCAGGCUGGAGUCCAGUGGCACGAUCUCAGCUCACCGCAACCUCCGCCUCCCGUGUUCAAGCGAUUCUCCUGCCUCAGCCCCCCAAAGAGUUGGAACUACAGGCAUGCACCACCAUGCCCAGCUAAUUUUGUAUUUUUAGUAGAGACGGGUUUCUCCAUGUUAGUCAGGUUGCUCUAGAACUCCCGACCUCAGGUGAUCUGUCAGCCUCAGCCUCCCAAAGUGCUGGGAUUACAGGCGUGAGCCACCGCACCUGGCUGAACCCAGGCCUUUCUGAACCUCUCCUUCCACCAGACCCAUGGCUCUGAGUCACUAGUCCUGGGCAAGGCCUUCCAGAGUGGUGGCCCCAGUCCCUAAAGAUUAGUUUUGUUUUCGUAGAGAUGGAGUGUCACGCUGUUGCCCAGGCUGGCCUCGAACUCCCGGGCUCAAGCAAUCCUCCUGCCUCCGCUGGGACUACAGCCACACGCCAC
rnacentral:lncRNA from 1 species